rnacentral:rRNA from 1 species
GACGAACGCUGGCGGCGUGCCUAAUACAUGCAAGUAGGACGCAGUUGCGAACGGGUGAGGAACGCGUCGGUAACUACCAUUUAGAGAGGGCUAACUAUUGGAAACGAUAGCUAAUACAGAAUCCAGGUAGAUUGACCUGCGUUGUAUUAGCUAGUAGGGAGGGUAAUGGUCUACCUAGGCAAAGAUACAUAGCCGACCUGAGAGGGUGAUCGGCCACACUGGGACUGAUACACGGCCCAGAAUCCUAAGGGAGGCAGCAGUAGGGAAUCGUCGGCAAUGGGGGGAACCCUGACCGAGCAACGCCGCGUGAGUGAAGAAGGUUUUCGGAUCGUAAAGCUCUGUUGUUAAGGAAGCGGUACUUAACCAGAAAGGGACGGCUAACUACGUGCCAGCAGCCGCGGUAAUAC